UAUCUCUGUAGAGUCUGCAUAUCAAUAAGCGGAGGAAAAGAAACUAACUAGGAUUCCCUCAGUAACGGCGAGUGAAGCGGGAAGAGCUCAAAUUUGAAAUCUUCAAGGUUCUACCUUGACGAAUUGUAGUUUAAAGAAGUGUUUUCUGUUGGUGUUUUGGUAAAAGUUCUUUGGAAUAGGACAUCAUAGAGGGUGAGAAUCCCGUAUUUGACCAUUACUUCCAGCGUUGUGAUACACUUUCAAAGAGUCGGAUUGUUUGGGAAUGCAGUCCAAAAUGGGUGGUAAAUUUCAUCUAAAGCUAAAUAUUGGCGAGAGACCGAUAGCGAACAAGUACCGUGAGGGAAAGAUGAAAAGAACUUUGAAAAGAGAGUUAAACAGUACGUGAAAUUGUCAAAAGGGAAGCGUUUGACACCAGUGUUGUUUUCUCGAAAAUCAAUUAAAAAAGUUGGAUUUUGUAUUGUUAAGACCUUAUCAGCUUACUGUACUCUUUUCUUGCUUUUUUUAAUGCACUUUUCGUUUAACAAGUCAACAUCAAUUUCUUUUGUUGUAAAAGAGUCAUUGGAAGGUGGCUUUCACUUCGGUGAAAGUGUUUAUAGCCUUUGGCUUCUGCAAUCGGAGAGAUUGAGGUCUGCAGCGUAAAUCCUUCGGGGCUAGAUACGUAGAUGCUAAGUUAUAGUUUUUUAUAGACAACUUGUUGACUAUAAUUAAUCAUGUAGCUUACUCGUUUGCGCUAUUUUACCUACGCUUAGGAUGUUGACGAGACUGUCGAUCUC
rnacentral:rRNA from 1 species